AUGUUUUUACAUGUUUUAGAUGAUUUAUGGGACUUUCCUACAAGUCCCUAUUUUUGGUAUUUAAUAUCAGGGAGGCAGAUUCCCCUCCUUUUCUUGUUUUUAUUGUUUCAGGAGUUUCGGGAACCCAAUGAACAAAAGGAAAGAAACCUCGGUGAUUUUUCUUCGGAAGGAAUAACGUCGAAAGAAGACCGAAGGGAGGAGAGCCACGGUGCCCAAGUUGGGUGGGCCCACGCGGCCAGGUACAGGGGUCGCAUGGGACCCACCAACAGGAGCCUCGGGCACCUCCUCGGCUGGGGCUUUUUAGGUAGGUCGUCGUCUUCCCCGAAAAGUCACGCCCUAUUUUUCCCCGAAUUAUCUGAGGCCGCGACGGCGGCGAAACUCCUGGAUCCCUUCGAGGGGGUCAGAUCCUGCUGCUCCGGAGCCCCCGGAGAGGGGGAAACCAUCGCCAUCGUCAUCACCUUUCCUCCUUGGCGUGUGAGGAGGCCUCUACAUCAUCACCAUCACCAAGACCAGCACCAUCUCCAUCACCAUCCCUGUGAUCCAUCUCGUUCCCCUCAUAGUUUGAGAGCUGCUAUACCCUAG
rnacentral:rRNA from 1 species